rnacentral:rRNA from 1 species
UGUCGUCAGCUCGUGUCGUGAGAUGUUGGGUUAAGUCCCGUAACGAGCGCAACCCUUGUCCUUAGUUACCAGCACGUUAUGGUGGGCACUCUAAGGAGACUGCCGGUGACAAACCGGAGGAAGGUGGGGAUGACGUCAAGUCAUCAUGGCCCUUACGGCCUGGGCUACACACGUGCUACAAUGGUCGGUACAAAGGGUUGCCAAGCCGCGAGGUGGAGCUAAUCCCAUAAAACCGAUCGUAGUCCGGAUCGCAGUCUGCAACUCGACUGCGUGAAGUCGGAAUCGCUAGUAAUCGUGAAUCAGAAUGUCACGGUGAAUACGUUCCCGGGCCUU